rnacentral:piRNA from 1 species
UAGCACCAUCUGAGGCCACUGGGUGAGCAGC